rnacentral:rRNA from 1 species
AUUGAACGCUGGCGGCAUGCCUUACACAUGCAAGUCGAACGGCAGCGGACCUUCGGGCGCCGGCGAGUGGCGAACGGGUGAGUAAUGCAUCGGAACGUACCUUUCAGUGGGGGAUAACGUAGCGAAAGUUACGCUAAUACCGCAUAUUCUGUGAGCAGGAAAGCAGGGGAUCGCAAGACCUUGCGCUGAUUGAGCGGCCGAUGUCAGAUUAGCUAGUUGGUGAGGUAAAGGCUCACCAAGGCGACGAUCUGUAGCGGGGCUGAGAGGAUGAUCCGCCACACUGGAACUGAGGCACGGUCCAGACUCCUACGGGAGGCAGCAGUGGGGAAUUUUGGACAAUGGGGGCAACCCUGAUCCAGCCAUGCCGCGUGAGUGAAGAAGGCCUUCGGGUUGUAAAGCUCUUUCGGCCGGGAAGAAAUCGCACGGGCUAAUACCCUGUGUGGAUGACGGUACCGGAAUAAGAAGCACCGGCUAACUACGUGCCAGCCGCCGCGGUAAUAC